UGGGGAAUAUUGCACAAUGGACGAAAGUCUGAUGCAGCAACGCCGCGUGGAGGAUGACACAUUUCGGUGCGUAAACUCCUUUUAUAUGGGAAGAUAAUGACGGUACCAUAUGAAUAAGCACCGGCUAACUCCGUGCCAGCAGCCGCGGUAAUACGGAGGGUGCAAGCGUUACUCGGAAUCACUGGGCGGAAAGAGCGUGUAGGCGGAUAUAUAAGUCAGAAGUGAAAUCCAAUAGCUUAACUAUUGAACUGCUUUUGAAACUGGAUAUCUAGAAGGUGGGAGAGGUAGAUGGAAUUUCUGGUGUAGGGGUAAAAUCCGUAGAGAUCAGAAGGAAUACCGAUUGCGAAGGCGAUCUACUGGAACAUUAUUGACGCUGAGACGCGAAAGCGUGGGGAGCAAACA
rnacentral:rRNA from 1 species